rnacentral:rRNA from 1 species
AUUGAACGCUGGCGGCAUGCCUUACACAUGCAAGUCGAACGGCAGCACGGGAGCAAUCCUGGUGGCGAGUGGCGAACGGGUGAGUAAUAUAUCGGAACGUGCCCGGUCGUGGGGAUAACGUAGCGAAAGCUACGCUAAUACCGCAUACGAUCUACGGAUGAAAGCGGGGGAUCGCAAGACCUCGCGCGAUUGGAGCGGCCGAUAUCAGAUUAGGUAGUUGGUGAGGUAAAGGCUCACCAAGCCGACGAUCUGUAGCUGGUCUGAGAGGACGACCAGCCACACUGGGACUGAGACACGGCCCAGACUCCUACGGGAGGCAGCAGUGGGGAAUUUUGGACAAUGGGCGCAAGCCUGAUCCAGCAAUGCCGCGUGCAGGAUGAAGGCCUUCGGUUGUAACUAGCUUUUGUUACGGUAACGAAA